GAUAAACGCUGGCGGCGUGCAUAACACAUGCAAGUCGAACGAAGUGGCGAACGGGUGAGUAACACGUGCGUAACCUGCCUUACACAAGGGGAUAGCCUUUGGUAACGCAGAAUAAUACCCUAUAGUGUAAGAUGGGCUUGCGUCUGAUUAGCUAGUUCGCGAGAUAAAAGCCCACCAAGGCGACGAUCAGUAGCCGGAUUGGGAGAAUGGACGGCAACAUUGGGACUGAUACACGGCCCAAACACGACGGGAGGCAGCAGUGGGGAAUUAUGCACAAGGGGGGAAACAAUGAUGCAGCGACGCCGCGUGAUUUAGAAGGCCUUCGGGUUGUAAAAAUCUUUUUUAUGGGAUGCAGUACCAUAAGAAUAAGGUCCGGCUAAAUACGUGCCAGCAGCCGCGGUAAUAC
rnacentral:rRNA from 1 species